GAUGAACGCUAGCUACAGGCUUAACACAUGCAAGUCGAGGGGCAGCAUCAUCAAAGCUUGCUUUGAUGGAUGGCGACCGGCGCACGGGUGAGUAACACGUAUCCAACCUGCCGACAACACUGGGAUAGCCUUUCGAAAGAAAGAUUAAUACCGGAUGGCAUAAUUAUUCCGCAUGGGAUGAUUAUUAAAGAAUUUCGGUUGUCGAUGGGGAUGCGUUCCAUUAGGCAGUUGGCGGGGUAACGGCCCACCAAACCAACGAUGGAUAGGGGUUCUGAGAGGAAGGUCCCCCACAUUGGAACUGAGACACGGUCCAAACUCCUACGGGAGGCAGCAGUGAGGAAUAUUGGUCAAUGGACGAGAGUCUGAACCAGCCAAGUAGCGUGAAGGAUGAAGGUCCUACGGAUUGUAAACUUCUUUUAUACGGGAAUAAAGUAUCCUACGUGUAGGAUUUUGUAUGUACCGUAUGAAUAAGCAUCGGCUAACUCCGUG
rnacentral:rRNA from 1 species